rnacentral:rRNA from 1 species
GUGGUGGGGAUGUUUAUUGGGCCUAAAGCAUUCGUAGCCUGCUUGGCAAGUCCUCCGUUAAAUCCAACGAUUCAAUCGUUGGGCUGCGGGGGAUACUGUCCGGCUAGGGGGCGGGAGAGGCCGACGGUAUCCCCGGGGUAGGGGUGAAAUCCUAUAAUCCCGGGAGGACCACCAGUGGCGAAGGCUGUCGGCUAGAACGUGCUCGACGGUGAGGGAUGAAAGCUGGGGGAGCGAACCGGAUUAGAUACCCGGGUAGUCCCAGCUGUAAACGAUGCAGGCUAGGUGUUGGCGCGGCUACGUGCCGCUCCAGUGCCGCAGGGAAGCCGUUAAGCCUGCCGCCUGGGAAGUACGGCCGCAAGGCUGAAGCUUAAAGGUAUUGGCGGGGGAGCACCACAAGGUGUGAAGCUUGCGGUUUAAUUGGAGUCAACGCCGGAAAUCUCACCGGGGGCGACAGCAGAAUGAAGGUCAGAUUGAAGGUCUUACCAGACAAGCUGAGAGGAGGUGCAUGGCCGUCGCCAGUUCGUGCCGUGAGGUGUCCUGUUAAGUCAGGCAACGAUCGAGACCCGCGUCCCCUGUUGCCACCGGCCUUGAGCCGAGCACACUGGGGAGACUGCCGUCGAUAAGGCGGAGGAAGGAGCGGGCCACGGCAGGUCAGUAUGCCCCGAAUCCCCCGGGCUACACGCGAGCUGCAAUGGCAGGUACAGAGGGUCCCGACUCUGAAAAGAGAAGGAAAUCCCGAAAGCCUGCCGUAGUUGGGAUCGAGGGUUGUAACUCACCCUCGUGAACAUGGAAUACCUAGUAACCGCGUGUCACUACCGCGCGGUGAAUACGUCCCUGCUCCUU